UUGCCACAUAUAAUUGCUGUAGCC
rnacentral:siRNA from 1 species